GGUCUGCAGAGUGCCGCCUCAGCGGCGGGAAGUGCGAGGCAAACUCUUCGCCCCGUCCGUGAGCCGAAAGGACCGCUUUGUGCUAGCGAGAAGUAGGUGUUCCCGACUCGCGAACAUCCACUUGUCGUGGUGAGAACGCUGCUGGAUACUGUAACAACUACACGAGCGUUUGCGCUCAGCAAAAUCCCAGCAGAAUGAGUUAUCAGAAAAUGGAUGAAAGAGUGCCCUCCAGAGGCAGAAUUCCACUGAAUAAAACUCCAAGAUACGGGGAAGAGGAAUUGGAGAACGUAAACAUUACGGCCGUAGCUAGAAAAGUUGGCUUUGCUCAACAUUCACAUAAAUACAAACAAACGUAACCACAGCUGGGAGAACACAUCAAAUUCUUCGAAAGGACAAAGAAUUUAAAUGUGG